rnacentral:lncRNA from 1 species
CUUGGCCAGAUUUAAGCUUAAGAUAUGCAGCAUGGUUAGAAUAACAAUACAGAUUGUUGGUUGACUAGAGUAACGCUUACGAUAUGUCGCAUGGCUAGAAUAACAAUACAAAUUACCGUUUGGCUAUGAUAACUUUAUAGAUUGCCGCUUGGCUUAAAUAACAAUAUAGAUUGCCGCUUGGUUAGGGUAACGAUUAAGAUAUGCCGCUUGGCUAUAAUAACUAUAUAGAUUGCCGCUUGGCUUAAAUGAUAAUACAGAUUGCCGCUUGGCUAGAGUAACGCUUAAGAUAUGCCGCAUAGCUAGAAUAACAAUAUACAGAUUGCCACUUGGCUAUAAUAACUAAACAGAUUGCCGCUUGGCUAAAUAACAAUACAGGUUGCCGCUUGGCUAGAAUAACAAUACGGAUUACCACUUAGCUAGAAUACCAUUGAAGGUAUGUUGAUUGAUUAGAAUACAAAAAAAAAAAUACCGCUUGGACAGAAAAACAACAUGUACGCUGAAUCAAUACCGCUGGGCUACAUGACACUGCUUGUUCAAGGUCAAUGUAAUGUAUCUGAAUGCUACAUGUCGAAUGUCUAUAAUAUGCCAUAACUUCAUAAGAUUUACACUUUACACUAUAGUACUAAGCUAGUUUAUUUUGGAUAUAGGUUCUUUAUACGGAUGAAUUAUUUUAUAAUUAUGGUUUCAAAGCUUGGUGCAUAGUUGGUGUAAACAUGACAGAUAGAUUUAUCCGAAUCUGCUAAAGAUGGAUAUGUGAAGGAAAACAUUAUUACUCAAUUAUCUGUAUCUCAGAAUUUAGGUAUUUAAUUAUAAUAAACUGAUCAUACAUUUGCCCGA